rnacentral:lncRNA from 1 species
GGGCUUCGAGUGGAUGAUCUAUAGAGGUCGGACGAUCUGUGUGACUGUCCAAAAUUAGUGAGAGCUUCAUUCCAUACCUACCAGUAGUAGAGUUCAUCAAUUCAUGAUAAGGUGAUGAGUUUUGAACUCAAUCGAUGUGAUCUAAAGGUUAGAUUUGAUUUGAGACAUUGAUGUGAUUAAUGCAAUUUUUAUUUUUAUCUUAGAUUUUAUAUA